AUCAUUCGGAAUGUAUAUUUCCUGUCAUUCUCCCCAGAUAACCUAGAUCACUCUCCACACAAAGUGGUCUUCACCUAAACAAAUUUUUACUGCUUCAGGGAAUAAAGUAAAGACUUUUCCCAAACUGAUGCUAGCUAAGGAUGACCUAAUUGGAUCAAGUUGGAUGGCUCCACCUGAUAGGAAGACCACGCUUGAUUUUCUCAAGACCUUGGAGGGAGGAGCUGCAAGAACAAGAGACAUUUUUGCAUGGGCUUUUCUGGUGGCAGGGAGGGAAGCACAGCUGAAUAAUUCAAGACUGGAAUCUUAGUAUCCAACUUCCAUUAACCCCUUGAGAUCCACUCAUUAGGGGAAAUAGAACAAAAGAAAGUAUAAGAUGAAUAAAGCAGCAGAAAAGGCAGGAUGAGCAAAGAAACAUAUGCUACACUUACCAAAGAGGAGUUAGAAGAGCUGUGUGCACAGCAUGGUCUGUCAGCUGCUGAGCAGAAGAAAUCGGAGCUCGUGUGUCAUGAGAAAUACAUACGUGCAACCUGCCUACACUGCUGCAACUGGAAUGCAAGAACCAAGCCUGCAGUACAAAUGCUGUGUGAUUUGAAUUCUUAUAUUUCUUUAAAGUAAAAUAAUAUGACACUUCUGGACAACUCAGGUGGCUGACUGCAACUUGGAAUGAAAGUAAAAUGUUCACUGAAACCACACAUUCCUAGCUCAUGUCACAGGAGUCGUAGCAGACAUUAAUAAAUCAAGAGCUGUAUUCACA